GACGAACGCUGGCGGCGUGCCUAAUACAUGCAAGUUGAGCGCUGAAGGUUGGUACUUGUACCAACUGGAUGAGCAGCGAACGGGUGAGUAACGCGUGGGGAAUCUGCCUUUGAGCGGGGGACAACAUUUGGAAACGAAUGCUAAUACCGCAUAAAAACUUUAAACACAAGUUUUAAGUUUGAAAGAUGCAAUUGCAUCACUAAAAGAUGAUCCCGCGUUGUAUUAGCUAGUUGGUGAGGUAAAGGCUCACCAAGGCGAUGAUACAUAGCCGACCUGAGAGGUUUGUCCGCCACCAUGGGACUGAUACACGGCCCAAACUCCUACGGGAGGCGUCGGUAGGGAAAUUUCGGCAAUGGACGAAAGUCUGACCGAGCAACGCCGCGUCAGUGUAGAAGGUUUUCGGCUCGUAAGACUCUGUUAGUAGGGAAGAUCGUUAGUGAGAGUAGAAAGCUCAUCAAGUGACGGUAACUACCCAGACAGCGACGGCUAACUACGUG
rnacentral:rRNA from 1 species